UGGGAUGUAGCUCAGUGGUAGAGCACUUGCCUUAUGUCUACCAAGCCCUGGGUUCAAUCCCCAGUACCCAC
rfam:Ictidomys tridecemlineatus contig106157, whole genome shotgun sequence.